rnacentral:misc_RNA from 1 species
GACCAUGGAUUUACCUCAUCGCGGUCAAUUGAUCGGUUUGCCCUCCAAAUAACACUAGUACAUUUGAAACCCGACCCGAAUGCUAUUUGCCAUAAUGUGUCUCCUUUUCUGACCCUACCUUUUGCUUCAACAUAAGCUACUUCAUACCACACCGAACAUGUGGAUGUGUUACCGAACCUAUAUAGAGUCAUUCUAGAAGCUUCCAUUUGUUCGUCGCUAAACCCUAAUUUUUUCUGCAAAUCAUCCAACAC